GACGAACCGUGCGAACGUUGUUCGGAAUCACUGGGCUUAAAGGGCGCGUAGGCGGCUUGCCAAGUCAGUGGUGAAAUCCUGCAGCUUAACUGCAGAAGUGCCUUUGAUACUGGCGAGCUCGAGGGAGGUAGGGGUAUGUGGAACUUCUGGUGGAGCGGUGAAAUGCGUUGAUAUCAGAAGGAACGCCGGUGGCGAAAGCGACGUACUGGACCUCUUCUGACGCUGAGGCGCGAAAGCUAGGGGAGCAAAC
rnacentral:rRNA from 1 species